rnacentral:tRNA from 1 species
GAGGAUGUAGCUCAAGUGGUAGAGCACAUGCUUAGCAUACACGUCCUGGGUUCAAUUCCCAGUACCUCCU